CUAUGGUUUAUUGGAUCGUACCCGUUAAAUGGAUAACUGUAAUAACUCUAGAGCUAAUACAUGCCUCGAAGCCCUGACCCUUAUGCGGCCGUUAUGCGGUCGUGCAAGGGAAUGGGUGCACUUAUUAGAUCAGAAGCCAACCAUGUAGCACAGUCCCGCUCGUCGAGCCUGUCGCCGCAUGUUGUCGUUCUGGUGACUCUGGAUAAUUGUUACAGAUCGCAGUCGGCCUUGAGUCGGCGACGGGUCCUUCAAAUGUCUGCCCUAUCAACUUUCGAUGGUAGGUGACCUGCCUACCAUGGUGAUAACGGGUAACGGGGAAUCAGGGUUCGAUUCCGGAGAGGGAGCCUGAGAAACGGCUACCACUUCCAAGGAAGGCAGCAGGCGCGCAAAUUACCCACUCCCAGUACGGGGAGGUGGUGACGAAAAAUACCGAUGCGGGACUCCUAAAAGAGGCUCCGUAAUCGGAAUGAGUGAACUUUAAAUCCUUUCACGAGGAUCAAUUGGAGGGCAAGUCUGGUGCCAGCAGCCGCGGUAACUCCAGCUCCAAUAGCGUAUAUUAAAGUUGCUGCAGUUAAAAAGCUCGUAGUUGGAUCUCGGUAUCACUGUUGCCUGUUAGUCCUUCAAACGGUAUAAACGCCUACUCGUGUGUGUGUAGAGGCACACCGCCUCUACUCACACGGGUAGACGGCUGUUUGAAGCUAGCACUGGUUGCGGUGUCACCUUUCAGCCAUGUCUGUGGUGAAAUAUACACAGGUGUAGGCGAGUGUCAGGCGGUGCAUGCCUUAUGGCGUGUCCGUCGGCUCGCCUGCAUGCCUCUGGAUGCCCUUCAUCGGGUGUCUAUAGGCGGAUGGCACGUUUACUUUGAACAAAUUUGAGUGCUCAAACCAGGCCGAUGUUGCCUGAAAAGUUUUGCAUGGAAUAAUGGAAUAGGACUUCGGUUCUAUUUCGUUGGUUUUCGGAUCCGAAGUAAUGAUCAAAAGAGACAGGCGGGGACGUUUGUAUGGCUGCGCUAGAGGUGAAAUUCAUGGACCGUAGCCAGACAAACUAAAGCGAAAGCAUUCGUCAAGCAUGUUUUCAUUGACCAUGAGCGAAAGUCAGAGGCUCGAAGACGAUCAGAUACCGUCCUAGUUCUGACCAUAAACGAUGCCAACUGACGAUCCGUGGUGGUAGUAUAUAAACCUUCCCCACGGGCAGUCCCCGGGAAACCUUUAAGUCUUUGGGUUCCGGGGGAAGUAUGGUUGCAAAGCUGAAACUUAAAGGAAUUGACGGAAGGGCACCACCAGGAGUGGAGCCUGCGGCUUAAUUUGACUCAACACGGGAAAACUCACCCGGCCCGGACACCGUGAGGAUUGACAGAUUGAUAGCUCUUUCUUGAUUUGGUGCUUGGUGGUGCAUGGCCGUUCUUAGUUGGUGGAGCGAUUUGUCUGGUUAAUUCCGAUAACGAACGAGACUCUAGCCUGCUAAUUAGUACAAUCGUCAACUGUUCCUGUGUCGACGGCGUUUGACGAGGCUGUUCUAUAUAACUCGUGCAUUGUCGCUCAGUCUGUGUGUGCGUGCGUGUGUGUCUGCUCGCCGUGUCUCCUGUGUGCCUCGUGUACUCGCGGGCGCGCGUGUGUCGGCAUGCACGUACUACAUGCACUGAGUCGACGCUGUAUUGGGUUGGUAUGGCUGGUUCAGCGUUAGUCGCCGGGUACGGCGCGAUUUGUCUACUUCUUAGAGGGACAAGCGGGAGAAGCCGCACGAAAUUGAGCAAUAACAGGUCUGUGAUGCCCUUAGAUGUCCGGGGCCGCACGCGCGCUACAAUGACGGUGCCAACGAGUCUGACCUUCUGGCCCGAAAGGGUUGGGUAAACUGGUCAAUCACCGUCAUGACAGGGAUCGGGGCUUGGAAUUGUUCCCCGUGAACGAGGAAUUCCUAGUAAGUGCAAGUCAUAAGCUUGCGCUGAUUACGUCCCUGCCCUUUGUACACACCGCCCGUCGCUACUACCGAUUGAAUGGUUUAGUAAGGUCCUUGGAUUGGUGCCAUUGCGGUGGUUGUCGAAAGACAACCACCCGACAGGUGCUAAGAAGACGACCAAACUUGAUCAUUUAGA
rnacentral:rRNA from 1 species